GCCUCUGUAGCUCAGUUGGUUAGAGCGCUGCUCCGGAAUCGCAGGGCCGUAGGUUCGAUUCCUAACAGAGGAC
rnacentral:tRNA from 1 species